rnacentral:rRNA from 1 species
AUUGAACGCUGGCGGCAGGCCUAACACAUGCAAGUCGAACGAGUGGCGGACGGGUGAGUAAUGUCUGGGAAACUGCCCGAUGGAGGGGGAUAACUACUGGAAACGGUAGCUAAUACCGCAUACCAUCGGAUGUGCCCAGAUGGGAUUAGCUAGUAGGUGGGGUAACGGCUCACCUAGGCGACGAUCCCUAGCUGGUCUGAGAGGAUGACCAGCCACCCUGGAACUGAGACGCGGUCCAGGCGCCUACGGGAGGCAGCAGUGGGGAUUAUUGCACAAUGGGCGCAAGCCUGAUGCAGCCAUGCCGCGUGUAUGAAGAAGGGCUUCGGGUUGUAAAGUACUUUCAGCGGGGAGGCGUUACCCGCAGAAGAAGCACCGGCUAACUCCGUGCCAGCAGCCGCGGUAAUUC